rnacentral:tRNA from 1 species
ACCCGGUUAGGAAAAUUGGUAAAUCCGACUGCCUUAGAAGCAGUAUUCUCUCGGUUCGAGUCCGAGACCGGGUA